CUGCUCCCUUAGGUCAGCGGCGGACGGGUGAGUAACACGUGGGUAACCUGCCUGUAAGACUGGGAUAACUCCGGGAAACCGGGGCUAAUACCGGAUGCUUGAUUGAACCGCAUGGUUCAAUUAUAAAAGGUGGCUUUCAGCUACCACUUGCAGAUGGACCCGCGGCGCAUUAGCUAGUUGGUGAGGUAACGGCUCACCAAGGCGACGAUGCGUAGCCGACCUGAGAGGGUGAUCGGCCACACUGGGACUGAGACACGGCCCAGACUCCUACGGGAGGCAGCAGUGGUCUGC
rnacentral:rRNA from 1 species